ACAGAUCGUUCAGAGUUUGAUCCUGGCUCAGGAUGAACGCUGGCGGCGUGCCUAACACAUGCAAGUCGAACGGGGUUAAGGGAAAUUUUCGGAUGGAACUUAACUUAGUGGCGGACGGGUGAGUAACGCGUGGAUAACCUGCCUCACACUGGGGGAUAGCAGCUGGAAACGGCUGGUAAUACCGCAUAAGACCACGGUGCCGCAUGGCACAGGGGUAAAAGAUUUAUCGGUGUGAGAUGGAUCCGCGUCUGAUUAGCCAGUUGGCGGGGUAACGGCCCACCAAAGCGACGAUCAGUAGCCGGCCUGAGAGGGUGAACGGCCACAUUGGGACUGAGACACGGCCCAA
rnacentral:rRNA from 1 species